GUUUGAUCCUGGCUCAGGACGAACGCUGGCGGCGUGCCUAAUACAUGCAAGUCGAACGCUUCUUUCCUCCCGAGUGCUUGCACUCAAUUGGAAAGAGGAGUGGCGGACGGGUGAGUAACACGUGGGUAACCUACCCAUCAGAGGGGGAUAACACUUGGAAACAGGUGCUAAUACCGCAUAACAGUUUAUGCCGCAUGGCAUAAGAGUGAAAGGCGCUUUCGGGUGUCGCUGAUGGAUGGACCCGCGGUGCAUUAGCUAGUUGGUGAGGUAACGGCUCACCAAGGCCACGAUGCAUAGCCGACCUGAGAGGGUGAUCGGCCACACUGGGACUGAGACACGGCCCAGACUCCUACGGGAGGCAGCAGUAGGGAAUCUUCGGCAAUGGACGAAAGUCUGACCGAGCAACGCCGCGUGAGUGAAGAAGGUUUUCGGAUCGUAAAACUCUGUUGUUAGAGAAGAACAAGGACGUUAGUAACUGAACGUCCCCUGACGGUAUCUAACCAGAAAGCCACGGCUAACUACGUGCCAGCAGCCGCGGUAAUACGUAGGUGGCAAGCGUUGUCCGGAUUUAUUGGGCGUAAAGCGAGCGCAGGCGGUUUCUUAAGUCUGAUGUGAAAGCCCCCGGCUCAACCGGGGAGGGUCAUUGGAAACUGGGAGACUUGAGUGCAGAAGAGGAGAGUGGAAUUCCAUGUGUAGCGGUGAAAUGCGUAGAUAUAUGGAGGAACACCAGUGGCGAAGGCGGCUCUCUGGUCUGUAACUGACGCUGAGGCUCGAAAGCGUGGGGAGCAAACAGGAUUAGAUACCCUGGUAGUCCACGCCGUAAACGAUGAGUGCUAAGUGUUGGAGGGUUUCCGCCCUUCAGUGCUGCAGCAAACGCAUUAAGCACUCCGCCUGGGGAGUACGACCGCAAGGUUAAAACUCAAAUGAAUUGACGGGGGCCCGCACAAGCGGUGGAGCAUGUGGUUUAAUUCGAUGCAACGCGAAGAACCUUACCUGGUCUUGACAUCCACGGAAGUUUUCAGAGAUGAGAAUGUGCCUUCGGGAACCGUGAGACAGGUGCUGCAUGGCUGUCGUCAGCUCGUGUUGUGAAAUGUUGGGUUAAGUCCCGCAACGAGCGCAACCCUUAUCCUUUGUUGCCAGCGGUCCGGCCGGGAACUCAAAGGAGACUGCCAGUGAUAAACUGGAGGAAGGUGGGGAUGACGUCAAGUCAUCAUGGCCCUUACGACCAGGGCUACACACGUGCUACAAUGGCGCAUACAAAGAGAAGCGACCUCGCGAGAGCAAGCGGACCUCAUAAAGUGCGUCGUAGUCCGGAUUGGAGUCUGCAACUCGACUCCAUGAAGUCGGAAUCGCUAGUAAUCGUGGAUCAGAAUGCCACGGUGAAUACGUUCCCGGGCCUUGUACACACCGCCCGUCACACCAUGGGAGUGGGUUGCAAAAGAAGUAGGUAGCUUAACCUUCGGGAGGGCGCUUACCACUUUGUGAUUCAUGACUGGGGUGAAGUCGUAACAAGGUAACC
rnacentral:rRNA from 1 species